rnacentral:rRNA from 1 species
UACAGAGGGUGCAAGCGUUAAUCGGAAUUACUGGGCGUAAAGCGUGCGCAGACGGUUGCGUAAGUCAGAUGUGAAAGCCCCGGGCUCAACCUGGGAAUUGCAUUUGAGACUGCGUAGCUAGGGUGCGGAAGAGGGAAGCGGAAUUUCCGGUGUAGCGGUGAAAUGCGUAGAUAUCGGAAGGAACACCAGUGGCGAAAGCGGCUUCCUGGUCCAGCACUGACACUGAGGCACGAAAGCGUGGGGAGCGAACAGG